UAGAUUGAUCCUGGCUAGGGAUGAACGCUAGCUACAGGCUUAACACAUGCAAGUCGCGGGGCAGCAUGGAUGUCCUUUCGGGGACAUCUGAUGGCGACCGGCGCACGGGUGAGUAACGCGUAUCCAACCUGCCCUUUACUAUGGGACAGCCCGUCGAAAGGCGGAUUAAUACCGUAUGUUGUCAUGUUGAUGCAUAUUUUCAUGACCAAAGGCGUUAGUCGGUAAAGGAUGGGGAUGCGUCUGAUUAGCUUGCCGGCGGGGUAACGGCCCACCGGGGCGACGAUCAGUAGGGGUUCUGAGAGGAAGGUCCCCCACAUUGGAACUGAGACACGGUCCAAACUCCUACGGGAGGCAGCAGUGAGGAAUAUUGGUCAAUGGGCGCGAGCCUGAACCAGCCAAGUAGCGUGCAGGAUGACGGCCCUAUGGGUUGUAAACUGCUUUUAUACGGGGAUAAAGUAUGCCACGUGUGGUUUAUUGCAGGUACCGUAUGAAUAAGGACCGGCUAAUUCCGUGCCAGCAGCCGCGGUAAUACGGAAGGUCCGGGCGUUAUCCGGAUUUAUUGGGUUUAAAGGGAGCGUAGGCCGGGUUUUAAGCGUGCCGUGAAAUGUCGGGGCUCAACCUUGACACUGCGGCGCGAACUGGAGUCCUUGAGUGCGCGGAACGUAUGCGGAAUUCGUGGUGUAGCGGUGAAAUGCUUAGAUAUCACGAAGAACCCCGAUUGCGAAGGCAGCAUACGGCAGCGCUACUGACGCUGAAGCUCGAAGGCGCGGGUAUCGAACAGGAUUAGAUACCCUGGUAGUCCGCGCGGUAAACGAUGGAUGCCCGCUGUUGGCGAUAUAUUGUCAGCGGCCAAGCGAAAGCGUUAAGCAUCCCACCUGGGGAGUACGCCGGCAACGGUGAAACUCAAAGGAAUUGACGGGGGCCCGCACAAGCGGAGGAACAUGUGGUUUAAUUCGAUGAUACGCGAGGAACCUUACCCGGGCUUGAACUGCCGGCGAACGAUCCAGAGAUGGUGAGGCCCUUCGGGGCGCCGGCGGAGGUGCUGCAUGGUUGUCGUCAGCUCGUGCCGUGAGGUGUCGGCUUAAGUGCCAUAACGAGCGCAACCCCUGUUCUCAGUUGCCAUCGGGUAAUGCCGGGCACUCUGUGAAGACUGCCUCCGUAAGGAGUGAGGAGGGUGGGGAUGACGUCAAAUCAGCACGGCCCUUACGUCCGGGGCUACACACGUGUUACAAUGGGUGGUACAGACGGUCGGCGUCCGGCAACGUACGUCCAAUCCGUAAAGCCGCCCUCAGUUCGGACUGGGGUCUGCAACCCGACCCCACGAAGCUGGAUUCGCUAGUAAUCGCGCAUCAGCCAUGGCGCGGUGAAUACGUUCCCGGGCCUUGUACACACCGCCCGUCAAGCCAUGAAAGCCGGGGGCGCCUGAAGUCCGUGACCGCGAGGGUCGGCCUAGGGUGAAACCGGUGAUUGGGGCUAAGUCGUAACAAGGUAGCCGUA
rnacentral:rRNA from 1 species